UAUGGUCAAACUAUUAAGGGCGCACGGGGGAUCCCUAGGUGCUGUCAGCCGAUGAAAGACGUAGCAGGCUGCGAAAAGCCCGGACGAGCUGCCAAGCAAGCGUUGACUCCGGGAUGUCUGAAUGGGGAAACCCACCAUGGUGAAGCCAUGGUACUCCGUAUUGAACACAUAGAUACGGUAGAGGUAAGCGAGCGAAUUGAAACAUCUUAGUAGCUCGAGGAAAGGAAAGCAAAAGCGACUCCCUAAGUAGCGGCGAGCGAACGGGGAUGAGCCUAAACCACUGUCAUGUUAAAGCGGGCUGCGUUGUGAUGGUGGGGUUGUUGGGAGAUUUUGGUAGUUAUUGCCCUAGCUACACAGAGUUACAAAAUGAUUUGUUAGACGAACACAGCUGGAAAGUUGGACCAAAGCGGGUGAUAGUCCUGUAGUCGAAAGCAAAUUAUCUCUGAAAGUCCACCCGAGUAGGCCGGGACACGUGAAAUCCCGGUUGAAUCUGCGAAGACCACUUCGUAAGGCUAAGUACUGAACAGCAACCGAUAGUGAACUAGUACCGUGAGGGAAAGGUGAAAAGCACCCCGGAAGGGGAGUGAAAUAGUAGUGAAACCGUGCGCUUACAAGCAGUCGGAGCUCUAUUAAGAGAGUGACGGCGUACCUGUUGAAGAAUGAGCCGCCGAGUUAUCGUCAGCAGCAAGGUUAAGGAGUAAAUAUCCGGAGCCGAAGCGAAAGCGAGUCUGAAUAGGGCAUCUAGUUGCUGGCGGUAGACCCGAACCCGGAUGAUCUAACCAUGGCCAGAAUGAAGCGUGGGUGACACUGCGUGAAGGUUCGAACCCACUAAUGUUGAAAAAUUAGGGGAUGAGCUGUGGUUAGCGGUGAAAUGCCAAUCGAAUCCGGAGCUAGCUGGUUCUCCUCGAAAUGGCUUUAGGGUCAGCCUCGAGCAAAAGCGUGUUGGGGGUAGAGCACUAGUUGGGUGCGGGGGAUGAAAUAUCCUACCAAAUCCUAUUAAACUCCGAAUACCAACAUUGCGUUCCUCGGGAGUGAGACUACGGGAGAUAAGUUUCGUGGUCGAAAGGGAAACAGCCCAGAUCGUCAGCUAAGGUCCCAAAGUCAUGGCUAAGUGGUUAAGGAGGUUGAGACGCUCAGACAACCAGGAGGUUGGCUUAGAAGCAGCAACCCUUGAAAGAGUGCGUAAUAGCUCACUGGUCAAGCGUUUCAGCGCCGAAAAUUCACGGGACUAAGCCAUGCACCGAAGCUACGGGAUUAACUUAGGUUAAUCGGUAGAGGAGCGUUCUGCUGUAGGCCGAAGGUAUAGCGUAAGCAGUGCUGGACGAAGCAGAAGUGAGAAUGGCGGCAUGAGUAACGAAAACAUUGGUGAGAAUCCAAUGCGUCGAAAACCCAAGGUUUCCCUACGGCAGGUUCGUCCGCGUGGGGUUAGUCGGGGCCUAAGGUGAGGCUGAAAGGCGUAGCCGAUGGAUAGCAGGUUAAUAUUCCUGCACCACUCGUAGUGGUUUGAGCGAAGGGGGGACGCAGAAGGCUAGGUCAGGGGAACUGUUGGAAUAGUUCCUUGUAGCAUGUAGGUAGUCUGGAUAGGCAAAUCCGUCCGGAUGUUGAUCUGAGGUGCAUACUGAAGCGGAUACGUUCUGCAAACUGAUUGACGCCACACUGCCAAGAAAAUCCUCUAGUGACACAAAGAGUGCCCGUACCGUAAACCGACACAGGUGGGUUAGUAGAGAAUACUAAGACGCGCGAGAUAACCCUCGCUAAGGAACUCGGCAAAAUAACUCUGUAACUUCGGGAGAAGGAGUGCCACAUUAGUGUGUAGCGAUUUACUCGUGAAGCAUGAAGUGGUCGCAGCGGAGAGGUCCAAGCGACUGUUUAACAAAAACACAGGUCUCUGCUAAGACGUAAGUCGAAGUAUAGGGGCUGACGCCUGCCCAGUGCCGGAAGGUUAAGGAAGGAGGUUAGGAGUAAUCCGAAGCUUUUGACCGAAGCCCCGGUGAACGGCGGCCGUAACUAUAACGGUCCUAAGGUAGCGAAAUUCCUUGUCAGGUAAGUUCUGACCCGCACGAAAGGCGUAACGACUUGGACGCUGUCUCGGCGAGGGGCUCGGUGAAAUUGGAAUGGCUGUGAAGAUACGGCCUACUCAUACCAGGACAGAAAGACCCCAUGGAGCUUUACUGUAGCUUGCCAUUGAAUUUGGGUUGCUUAUGUGCAGGAUAGGUGGGAGGCUGCGAAGCAUUUUCGUCAGGAGAUGUGGAGCCGUCGGUGAGAUACCACUCUUAAGUAAUCUAAAUUCUAACUUUACACCGUAAUCCGGGUAGAGGACAGUGGCUGGUAGGCAGUUUGACUGGGGCGGUCGCCUCCUAAAGAGUAACGGAGGCGUCCAAAGGUUCCCUCAGACUGGUUGGAAAUCAGUCGCAGAGUGCAAAGGCAUAAGGGAGCUUGACUGUGAGACUGACAGGUCGAACAGGGAGGAAACUCGGGCUUAGUGAUCCGACGCCAGCGCGUGGAAGUGGCGUCGCUCAACGGAUAAAAGUUACCCUGGGGAUAACAGGCUGAUCUCCCCCAAGAGUCCACAUCGACGGGGAGGUUUGGCACCUCGAUGUCGGCUCGUCGCAACCUGGGGCGGUAGU
rnacentral:rRNA from 1 species